AUUGAACGCUGGCGGCAGGCCUAACACAUGCAAGUCGAACGAGCGGCGGACGGGUGAGUAAUGCUUGGGGAUCUGCCUGAUGGAGGGGGAUAACUACUGGAAACGGUAGCUAAUACCGCGUACCAUAGGAUGAACCCAAGUGGGAUUAGGUAGUUGGUGAGGUAAAGGCUCACCAAGCCGACGAUCCCUAGCUGGUCUGAGAGGAUGACCAGCCAAACGGGGACUGAGACACGGCCCAGACUCCUACGGGAGGAAGCAGUGGGGAAUAUUGCGCAAUGGGGGCAACCUGAAGCAGCCAUGCCGCGUGAAUGAAGAAGGCCUUCGGGUUGUAAAGUUCUUUCGGUAGGGAGGCGUUACCUACAGAAGAAGCACCGGCUAACUCCGUGCCAGCAGCCGCGGUAAUAC
rnacentral:rRNA from 1 species